UACGGAGGGAGCUAGCGUUGUUCGGAAUUACUGGGCGUAAAGCGCACGUAGGCGGCUUUGUAAGUUAGAGGUGAAAGCCCGGGGCUCAACUCCGGAACUGCCUUUAAGACUGCAUCGCUUGAAUCCAGGAGAGGUGAGUGGAAUUCCGAGUGUAGAGGUGAAAUUCGUAGAUAUUCGGAAGAACACCAGUGGCGAAGGCGGCUGACUGGACAUGUAUUGACGCUGAGGUGCGAAAGCGUGGGGAGCGAACAGG
rnacentral:rRNA from 1 species